rnacentral:rRNA from 1 species
CCUACGGGAUGCAGCAGUGAGGAAUAUUGGGCAAUGGGGGAAACCCUGAUCCAGCCACGCCGCGUGAGUGAAGAAGGUCUUCGGAAUGUAAAGCUCUAUCGGAAGUGACGAUGAUGACGGUAGCGUCGAAAGAAGCACCGGCUAACUACGUGCCAGCAGCCGUGGUAAUACGUAGGGUGCGAGCGUUGUCCGGAAUUACUGGGCGUAAAGGGAGCGUAGACGGGAAUGUAAGACAGGAGUGAAAUGCCGGGGCUCAACCCCCGAACUGCACUGGUGACUGUACGUCUAGAGUACAGGAGAGGUAAGCGGAAUUCCUAGUGUAGCGGUGAAAUGCGUAGAUAUUAGGAAGAACACCGGUGGCGAAGGCGGCUUACUGGACUGUAACUGACGUUGAGGCUCGAAAGCGUGGGGAUCAAACAGGAUUAGAUACCCGUGUAGUC